GGGACUCAACGGUGAACCGGGACCAAAAAGCCAACCUGGGCGACCAGGAGACCCUGGACUUAAGGGACUUAACGGACCAGGCGGACCUAAAGGAGGCAAGGGUGAACCUGGUCUACAGGGGAAGCCAGGUCUUCAUGGGGAUCUCGGCCCCAAAGGAUCCAAGGGAGGUCCAGGGCUGCCCGGUCCAAGAGGACAUCAAGGAGAUAAUGGGCCAGAUGGACAGAUCGGAACUGCUGGAGAGCCUGGUGAUCCUGGACAGACUGGACCCCAUGGAGAUCG